UACAGAGGUCCCAAGCGUUGUUCGGAUUCACUGGGCGUAAAGGGUGCGUAGGUGGUGAGGUAAGUCGGAUGUGAAAUCUCCAGGCUCAACCUGGAAAUGGCAUUGGAAACUACCUUGCUAGAGGGUUUGAGGGGGGACUGGAAUACUUGGUGUAGCAGUGAAAUGCGUAGAUAUCAAGUGGAACACCAGUGGCGAAGGCGGCAUCCUGGACCGAGAUUGACGCUGAUGCGCGAAAGCCAGGGGAGCAAACGGG
rnacentral:rRNA from 1 species